UAAGCACUGAGGUAAAACAUUAUGAAGUACAGGUUUUGAGCUGAGUCACAUCUACAUUUUCUUGGUUGGAGUUAUUAAAAAUCAAUUUAAAACUAACCUUUAGCAUGUCGCUGUCAUAGGUGUAAUCCAUUGCUGGAGAGAUGCGUUGUGAAAAUAUCUGGCCCAUCAUAGUCCGUGUCUAAUGCUGGCAGCACUGCUAACAAUUUCUCCUGGACAGCAUAUCAGGCUUUUGUCAGAUAUGGGAUGUAAAAGGGAGAUCAGAAUUUGGACUUGACAAUUUUCUUCCUAAUGCUAAAGCCUACUUACAAGAAUGACUGUGAAAACACUCC